rnacentral:lncRNA from 1 species
AAGAUUAAAAAUUAUUGCUUCUAAAAGGAAUGAAAAUAAUCAGUUGCUUCAGGUAUACGACCCAUCAAUUUCCCACAAAAAAACUAAUUUCUUAUUGGUAUUAUCAAGUGGUAUUACAUAAGUGAUAGCACUAAGACUAGAUUUCUUUCUGCAGCAGUCCAUGCUGUUGCUACAAUCAUUUUACUCUUGUUUAUACCCAAAGGUCCAGAUUGUGCAUAUUACCAAAAUAGAUAUCAAGCUGUUUUUGAGUUAUAUUGAGUUCAAUCAUUUUCUUCCAGGUUUGAUCCUUUUGAUCUUUAUCUCAAGGUGAAAAAAUUACAAAGCCAACGAAUAUGAUUGUAAAUAUUCCAAAAAUGUAGUGAAGCCAAAACCAUGAGUUUGCAGCUCUACAUUUGGAAGCUUUAUUUUCAUAACCAUGCUUAGUUGGCUUAAUAAUAACCAGUACAUAUUUGCAGGUGGCAUUUCUUCAUCUUUUUUUUUUUGUACCUUUGUUUACUUGUAUAAUUAAUCGUGAAUAUAAUCAUGGUUGAUGAGUU